AGCGGUGCUAGGAUGCAUCCAAGAUGUGCAACGGUGCAAGUGUCCUCUCCUCGAGAGACGUCUGCAUUCUUUGCGAAGCUGCUGUUUAUUCACCGUUGUGGAUAUUGGUGUGAAGACAUCUGGUAAAAAAAAAAUCUUUCAUCAGUUUAUCUAGGACUUUUACCUCUCUCCUUCAAUGGAACGUAUUUGAUGUAUUGCUUGAUUAACUAUGCGGAUGGAUCGUGUAUCAGCAGACUAUUCGAUCGUUCAACAGCUCCUAAAUUGAGGGAUCUUGUUAGAUCUUGUUAAUUCUUAAUUUUAUAUACACCUAUUCUAACGAUCGUUUCAAUUUAUUUUGUAAAUUACACAGAACCUCUACGAGCGGUGAACUGAGAAACGGCCCAUUAAUUAAAGAUUAUGCUAAAGAAUUUUUUAAACUUGUCCCUGAAAGACAGACGAGCAGACACGUUUGAUAGAAAUGGCUGCAUCGUCGCCUCGUCGGAGGAGCAUACACACUCAAAAUGGCAUUUCUGUACUCGACAACUGUGCCAUUCAGAUAUUACAAUGAAACGUAUCUUUCAGGUGGACUUUGCUGUAAGAACUUCGUCAGCAAUGCCAAGGACCUUUCAUCUCUGCACCAAGACGAUUGUUCCUGUUUGCAUGCACUAUGUUAGUCUAGUCACGUCAAGUUCAUCUAUGUUUAGAUCACAAUAACACAACACUCGUACAGAUUCAGUACCAUGGAUGAAAGGCUUCCACAUAGAAAAUGGACCCCUUGGAUGUUCCUCUAAGGAAGUGUGCUCUCCUCGCUACUGUCUGAAAAAUUGAACAAAUUAGUAAAGUUAUGUAUUUUCAAUUUGACUAAAGGAAAUUUAAUUAUUCAUAGUCGUAGAUUAAGUAAAUAUUGAGGUAACGUGCGAAAGUUUGUAGAUAGACUUACAGUAUUCAAAAGUAUGAAUGAAGUGUUUGCUGUACUUUCUUGGAUCGGAGAUUAACUUGUAUUAAUUUGUUGACUUAGAAAUAUUAAAUAACCGAUGAAGAAACAGAGGGCUGACAUAAUUCUUCAUUGAGUGAAGUGGUUGAUUUCACAGCAUAAUUUGCAUCUACAAAUUAUCAGCCCACUACAUUAAUAUUAUAAAUGUAUCUACAGAAAAAUUAUAGACAGUCAACGUGUUAUACAGGAUGACCUAAUAAAAAAUCCUUGCUGGGAUCAUUAAAAAAAAGACAGCUCUCUGUCUGAUAUUUAUCUUCCUCAAUCAUUGAGUACCAAAAUUCGCCUAUUUUUAUCCGAUUUCGAAAAAGGAGGAGGUUACUCAAUUCGAUCAGUAUAUAUAUAUAUUUUUUUUUACAAGCGUCCUUUGCAAUGUGGAGAGAGUAUCGGAUGCCAAUCGCUACCAGCGGAGACGCGGUAGCCGCAGGCAUCCUCGGUGUCUUCUUCGUUCCCGGCGCAUCUUCUGAAAUGGCAAGGUCACCGGUAGUUACGUCACCAACUUUCCUCGGCACCUCUUAACGCGUACAGCACGACGAGAAAACUAAAUGUCACAAUUACCAAGGACGCUCGACCGCGUGUUCGAAUACCUCCAGGCAUCUGCCAACAAACGACGAGGGCGAUGAAGCGAUGCCUGAUGAAUUACGAGGAUCAUAAUGCAGCGGUGCGUGUGCAUCCGCGGCUCCCAGGUGGUUCGACCUCGUCACCUUGCCAGUAGAUGACUGUUUUAUCGUCGACACCAGUGAAGUAAAUCAAUCGAACCCGUGAUCGUAGCCGCAGACCCGAAGAAGGAUCCGCGAAGGAUUGCUCGAUGGAACGUCGAAACGUAAAGUUCACGUCUGUAAACUUUAAAUCGCCUGACCGAGCGGAUACCAUUCAAAGUGUUAAAACUCGGUCAGAUACGUAUUUCGAAACCUAUCAGUCAAUUAGAAUUGAUUUUUAAUAAAUUCUGAUAAUUUUCAUGAAAUUACAUUAGACUUUCUGUUUCCAAAUCGGUCAAUUGAUCUGAAUUAAUGUUAAUAUUAAUCUCCAAUAAAACGUAUCAUCGUUAA